rnacentral:rRNA from 1 species
AUUGAACGCUAGCGGGAUGCUUUACACAUGCAAGUCGAACGGCAGCGCGGACUUCGGUCUGGCGGCGAGUGGCGAACGGGUGAGUAAUGUAUCGGAACGUGCCCAGUAGCGGGGGAUAACUACGCGAAAGCGUAGCUAAUACCGCAUACGCCCUACGGGGGAAAGCAGGGGAUCGUAAGACCUUGCACUAUUGGAGCGGCCGAUAUCGGAUUAGCUAGUUGGUGAGGUAACGGCUCACCAAGGCGACGAUUCGUAGCUGGUUUGAGAGGACGACCAGCCACACUGGGACUGAGACACGGCCCAGACUCCUACGGGAGGCAGCAGUGGGGAAUUUUGGACAAUGGGGGCAACCCUGAUCCAGCCAUCCCGCGUGUGCGAUGAAGGCCUUCGGGUUGUAAAGCACUUUUGGCAGGAAAGAAACGUCGCGGGCUAAUACCCCGUGGAACUGACGGUACCUGCAGAAUAAGCACCGGCUAACUACGUG